AUUGAACGCUGGCGGCAUGCCUUACACAUGCAAGUCGAACGGUAACGCGGGGGCAACCCUGGCGACGAGUGGCGAACGGGUGAGUAAUACAUCGGAACGUACCUGGUAGUGGGGGAUAGCCCGGCGAAAGCCGGAUUAAUACCGCAUACGCACCACGGUGGAAAGCGGGGGACCGCAAGGCCUCGCGCUAUCAGAGCGGCCGAUGGCAGAUUAGCUAGUUGGUGGGGUAAAAGCCUACCAAGGCGACGAUCUGUAGCUGGUCUGAGAGGACGACGAGCCACACUGGGACUGAGACACGGCCCAGACUCCUACGGGAGGCAGCAGUGGGGAAUUUUGGACAAUGGGGGAAACCCUGAUCCAGCGAUGCCGCGUGUGUGAAGAAGGCCUUCGGGUUGUAAAGCACUUUUGUUCGGGAAGAAAUCUGUCGGGCUAAUACCCUGGCGGGAUGACGGUACCGGAAGAAUAAGCACCGGCUAACUACGUGCCAGCAGCCGCCGUAA
rnacentral:rRNA from 1 species